GAUGAACGCUGGCGGCGUGCCUAAUACAUGCCAGUCGAGCGAACAGACGAGGAGCUUGCUCCUCUGACGUUAGCGGCGGACGUGUGAGUAACACGUGGAUAACCUACCUAUAAGACUGGGAUAACUUCGGGAAACCGGAGCUAAUACCGGAUAACAUGUUGAACCGCAUGGUGCAACAGUGAAAGACGGUCUUGCUGUCACUUAUAGAUGGAUCCGCGCCGCAUUAGCUAGUUGGUAAGGUAACGGCUUACCAAGGCAACGAUGCGUAGCCGACCUGAGAGGGUGAUCGGCCACACUGGACCUGAGCCACGGUCCAGACUCCUACGGGAGGCCGCAGUAGGGCCCCUUCCGCAAUGGGCGAAAGCCUGACGGCGCACCGCCGCGUGAGUGCAGAAGGUCUUCGGAUCGUAAAACUCUGUUAUUCGGGACGAACAAAUGUGUACGUAACUAUGCACGUCUUGACGGUUCCUACUAAGAACGCCCCGGCUAACUACGUG
rnacentral:rRNA from 1 species